rnacentral:misc_RNA from 1 species
AACGCACAUUGCGCCCUUUGGUAUUCCGAAGGGCAUGCCUGUUCGAGCGUCAUUAUCAACCCUCAAGCCCGGCUUGUUAUUGGGUCUUAUCGUUAAAGAUAUACCCGAAAGAUAGUGACGGUGUCGCGAUAUCGACCCCAGAUGCAGCGAGCUUCUUAGCAUACAUCUGUUGAGGCGUCGGCCGGCCCGGUCUUAACCACAAACUUCUAAAGGUUGACCUCGGAUCAGGUAGGAAUACCCGCUGAACUUAA